rnacentral:rRNA from 1 species
GAUGAACGCUGGCGGCGUGCCUAAUACAUGCAAGUCGAGCGAACGGACGAGAAGCUUGCUUCCCUGAUGUUAGCGGCGGACGGGUGAGUAACAAGUGGAUAACCUACCUCUAAGACUGGGAUAACUUCGGGAAACCGGAGAUAAUAACGGAUAAUAUUUUGAACCGCAUGGUUCAAAAGUGAAAGACGGUCCUGCUGUCACUUAUAGAUGGUUCCGUGCUGCAUUAGUUAGUUGGUAAGGUAACGGCUUACCAAGGCAACGAUGCAUAGCCGACCUGAGAGGGUGAUCGGCCACACUGGAACUGAGACACGGUCCAGACUCCUACGGGAGGCAGCAGUAGGGAAUCUUGCGCAAUGGGCGAAAGCCUGACGGAGCAACGCCGCGUGAGUGAUGAAGGUCUUCGGAUCGUAAAGCUCUGUUAUUAGGAAAGAACAGAUGUGUAAUUAACUGUGCACAUCUUGACGGUACCUAAUCAGAAAGCCACGGCUAACUACGUG